rnacentral:rRNA from 1 species
CCGCGUGAGGGAGGAAGGCUCUUGGGUCGUAAACCUCUUUUCUCAGGGAAGAACACAAUGACGGUACCUGAGGAAUAAGCAUCGGCUAACUCCGUGCCAGCAGCCGCGGUAAUACGGAGGAUGCAAGCGUUAUCCGGAAUGAUUGGGCGUAAAGCGUCCGCAGGUGGCUAUGUAAGUCUGCUGUUAAAGAGUCUAGCUCAACUAGAUAAGAGCAGUGGAAACUACAUGGCUAGAGUGCGUUCGGGGCAGAGGGAAUUCCUGGUGUAGCGGUGAAAUGCGUAGAGAUCAGGAAGAACACCGGUGGCGAAGGCGCUCUGCUAGGCCGUAACUGACACUGAGGGACGAAAGCUAGGGGAGUGAAUGGGAUUAGAUACCCCAGUA